rnacentral:rRNA from 1 species
UACAGAGGGUGCGAGCGUUAAUCGGAAUUACUGGGCGUAAAGCGUGCGUAGACGGUUAUUUAAGUCGGGUGUGAAAGCCCCGGGCUCAACCUGGGAAUUGCAUUCGAGACUGAAUAGCUAGGGUACGGUAGAGGGAAGCGGAAUUUCCGGUGUAGCGGUGAAAUGCGUAGAUAUCGGAAGGAACACCAGUGGCGAAAGCGGCUUCCUGGCCCAGCACCGACGUCAGGCACGAAAGCGUGGGGAGCAAAC